rnacentral:rRNA from 1 species
GGGGAAUCUUCCGCAAUGGACGAAAGUCUGACGGAGCAACGCCGCGUGAGUGAAGAAGGUUUUCGGAUCGUAAAGCUCUUUCGUCAGGGACGAACGUAUUUCUUGUAAAUAAUGAGAGAUAGUGACGGUACCUGAAUAAGAAGCCACGGCUAACUACGUGCCAGCAGCCGCGGUAAUACGUAGGUGGCAAGCGUUGUCCGGAAUUAUUGGGCGUAAAGCGCGCGCAGGCGGGAUAUCAAGUCUGUCUUAAAAGUGCGAGGCUCAACCUCGUGAGGGGACAGAAACUGGUAUUCUUGAGUGUCGGAGAGGAAAGUGGAAUUCCAAGUGUAGCGGUGAAAUGCGUAGAGAUUUGGAAGAACACCAGUGGCGAAGGCGACUUUCUGGACGAUGUCUGACGCUGAGGCGCGAAAGCUAGGGGAGCGAACGG